UCUCAACUCAAGUAUGAAAAACAUGACCACUUUCUUCUCCACCACCACCGCCACCUAUACAUAUAAAUCAUCAUCUUUUUCUUUUUCUUCUUCGAACAACGACAAUAAGUCAAGGGAAAUUAGGUUGUUGAGUUGUUGAGUUACUGAUAAAGGAUGAGAAGAACAAGAAAGCAGAAAUUGAGAGAUUAAACAAUAUUUUGAUGGGUAUGUAUGUGGUUUAUUUGAGUAACAAAUGGAAAUUAGGGUUCUUAAUUUUUAUGGAUAAUUUAUAUUGAAAUUGAAGAAUUGAGUUACGAUGCUUGUGUUCAAAGAAUCAGAAGAUCGAGAUUACAACAGUUUGGGGUUGAAAUGGUGGCUUGUUUGGCUUGAAGUUGAUGGUGCUGAGAUAUGUGCAACUAAAUAUUGGUUGGAUGCAAUGGAAAUUAGGGUUCUUAGGGAUGAUUUGUUGAAGUCAUUGGGUUCUGAUGCUUGUUGGUUGUGUAGGUUACAUUAUGAAAACAUUGUUGAUAUGGGAAUUAGGUUUCUUGCAG